rnacentral:rRNA from 1 species
CCUACGGGAGGCAGCAGUGGGGAAUCUUGCGCAAUGGGCGAAAGCCUGACGCAGCCAUGCCGCGUGAAUGAUGAAGGUCUUAGGAUUGUAAAAUUCUUUCACCGGGGACGAUAAUGACGGUACCCGGAGAAGAAGCCCCGGCUAACUUCGUGCCAGCAGCCGCGGUAAUACGAAGGGGGUUAGCGUUGCUCGGAAUUACUGGGCGUAAAGGGAGCGUAGGCGGAUAGUUUAGUCAGAGGUGAAAGCCCAGGGCUCAACCUUGGAAUUGCCUUUGAUACUGGCUAUCUUGAGUACGGAAGAGGUAUGUGGAACUCCGAGUGUAGAGGUGAAAUUCGUAGAUAUUCGGAAGAACACCAGUGGCGAAGGCGACAUACUGGUCCGUUACUGACGCUGAGGCUCGAAAGCGUGGGGAGCAAACAGGAUUAGAUACCCUGGUAGUCCACGCUGUAAACGAUGAGUGCUAGUUGUCGGCAUGCAUGCAUGUCGGUGACGCAGCUAACGCAUUAAGCACUCCGCCUGGGGAGUACGGUCGCAAGAUUAAAACUUAAAGGAAUUGACGG